rnacentral:rRNA from 1 species
GUGUCAGCAGCCGCGGUAAUACGGAGGGUGCGAGCGUUGUCCGGAAUCACUGGGCGUAAAGGGCGCGUAGGUGGCUUAGAAAGUGUGUGGUGAAAGCCCGGGGCUUAACCCCGGGUCUGCCGUGCAAACUACUAUGGCUAGAGGACUGUAGAGGCAAGUUGAAUUCCGGGUGUAGCGGUGGAAUGCGUAGAGAUCCGGAAGAAUACCGGUGGCGAAGGCGGCUUGCUGGGCAGUUUCUGACACUGAGGCGCGACAGCGUGGGGAGCAAACAGGAUUAGAUACCCUCGUAGUCC